UACAACAUACUUCUAUUGCAUUGGAUCCCAUUAUAACUCCACAGUUACGUGCGCUUAGGCUAGAGUAGUACUGGGAUGGGUGACUGCUCAAGAAGUCCUAGUGUUUUAC
rnacentral:rRNA from 1 species